AUCCAGAAGUGGGGAAGUGAUCAUAUUGCCUUGGUUUCGGAAUUGGCUUUCACAAAUGAUGCAUCGGCUCAAGAUACUAGCGUCCAAAAUCAAUAAAAAUCCUGUGCACUCUAAAGGACUCUACGAGUUUUCAGUACGUAAAACUUUUUGUUCUUCCAGCGAAUGAGGGGUGAAAUUCAUCAUCGAAGGGUCUUCAAACAUAGAGACGAA